CUACCAUGAGCUACCUAGCCAUACUUGUUGUACACAUGGGGUGGCUCCAAUCCCUCUUCUCUCCUCUCAAGAAGCUCUGGGUUCGUCUCCACUCCCCUCCUAAGAAGAGAAGAGGGAUAUACAUUCUGUACGAGGAUGUCAAGUCGUGUCCAUACGAGGAUGUUCAUGUGCUCUGGUCUAUACUAGUGGAGUCGCAUCGGCCUGCUUUGCCAGCACCACUACCCAAAUGAGGCUUCUUAUUAUACACAAAAAACACAAGAAAAUGGGAGUAAAGCUAAGCUAGCUAGCCCUGUAAAUAUAUAUAUAUAUGUGUCUGCAUUAUAUAUUGCUUCAAGUUUUGCUCUUUUCUCCUUGGUUUGGGCUUUGGAUCUUUUAGUGAUCAAUAGGCCACUCUUAGAAAUGUUCUUAAAUUAUAAGUAACAUUAUGCCUGCUUCUUCACUUA